CCUGCCGUUAGAAUUUCUGUCCUGACUUCCUUUCGUGACAGCAAUGUUUGUGACAGGGUCUCAUGUAGACCGGCGUGGCAUUGAACUCACUAUAUAGCCAAGGAUAACAUUGAACAUCUGGUGCUCCUCAUCUAUCUCCUGGGUGCUGGUAUUACAGGUAUGUGCCACCACAAAUGGCUUUUAUGUGGUGUCGGCAUCACAGACAGGACCUUAUGUAUGCUAGCUAUAUACUCAACCUAUAUACUCAACUAAGUAUGUAUGUAUGUAUGUAUGUAUGCUCUAUUCUGAGUAGGAUAAAGUUCUCUGCAGCAUAGGGAUAGAAAGUGUUCUGGUUUUGUUUUGUUUUUAAUUGUUGGAGGUCAACAACAGUUGAAAGAGCAUCAAUGUUUAAGAUGACUGAAUAGAUAUUACUCUAGGACAAAACAAUGAGUUUUUCUUUAUGUAUGUAACUUUCAUAUGUCACAUGUAUGAUCAUGAGCCUUCCUUUACCUGUUCUGCUUUACACUUCAAUAAGCAACCUUCCUUCCAUUUGUUUCAUGUUCUCUGUGUCUGAUGACCAGACCCAUGCCCAUGACGCAUGGUUUUAUAGGUGAAUUUUUGUAUCAAAAGCUUUGUGUAAAUUUCUGGAUAGUCAUUUCUUCUUGUAGUAGGAAAUUAUAAAAUAAAUUAAAUCACAUUUCAGUUUUAUGUGACUUUGGGCUUAAAUAAAGCUAGCUGGGAGUCUCUUUGACAUUUAUUGAACUGUAUUAUCAAGAAGUAUUUUACAUCAAAGACAAAUUCCAGAUGUAUCCACGUAUAUAUGUAAACAUAAUGCUACUAAUACUGUAAGUAAAUUAUUUUGCUUUCCAGAGAA